UACGUAGGGUGCAAGCGUUAAUCGGAAUUACUGGGCGUAAAGCGUGCGCAGGCGGUUUUGUAAGUCUGUCGUGAAAGCCCCGGGCUCAACCUGGGAAUUGCGAUGGAGACUGCAAGGCUUGAAUCUGGCAGAGGGGGGUAGAAUUCCACGUGUAGCAGUGAAAUGCGUAGAGAUGUGGAGGAACACCGAUGGCGAAGGGAGCC
rnacentral:rRNA from 1 species